CUUUGUUGUCCGACUCUGUUGCCUCCGGGGCGACCCUGCCUUCGGGCGGGGGCUCCGGGUGGACACUUCAAACUCUUGCGUAACUUUGCAGUCUGAGUAAACUUAAUUAAUAAAUUAAAACUUUUAACAACGGAUCUCUUGGUUCUGGCAUCGAUGAAGAACGCAGCGAAAUGCGAUAAGUAAUGUGAAUUGCAGAAUUCAGUGAAUCAUCGAAUCUUUGAACGCACAUUGCGCCCCCUGGUAUUCCGGGGGGCAUGCCUGUUCGAGCGUCAUUUCACCACUCAAGCCUCGCUUGGUAUUGGGCAACGCGGUCCGCCGCGUGCCUCAAAUCGACCGGCUGGGUCUUCUGUCCCCUAAGCGUUGUGGAAACUAUUCGCUAAAGGGUGCUCGGGAGGCUACGCCGUAAAACAACCCCAUUUCUAAGGUUGACCUCGGAUCAGGUAGGGAUACCCGCUGAACUUAAGCAUAUCAAUAAGCGGAGGAA
rnacentral:misc_RNA from 1 species